CUAAAAUAGCCUGCUGCAUUUGAAGGGUUCAAAAAUCUGGAAAGUUUGCGGCUUCACGAUGUUGACUUGACUCGAGAUUCACUUGAGAAACUUAUCUCUUGUUGCCCUCAGUUGCGUAAACUGGAUUUGUUUCUAGUCGAUGACAUUGCCCUUCUCACCAUUGACACACCCAAUCUUCAGGACCUUAAGCUCUCUGGUUCAUUAUGAGACCUUAGUUUUGGCUGCAAUUUUUUGACUGAAGUAGAAUUAGGCUUAUUUGAGAGGAAGUAUGAGCUUGCUGAAGCCAAUAUAUAUACCAGCAAUCUGGAGAAAUUCUUUGCACAGCUGCCACUCAUCAGGGCUGUCCGAAUUGAGGAGGACUCACUAAGGGUACUGUUACAUAUCUAAGGGUUCUUUGGAAUUGAUUCUACUGUGGUUCAUUUCUUUUUUAUGAACUAUGAACGGAUUGGCCCGUUUGUUUUCAGGGUUAAAAUCACAAAAAUUUUAACUUUAACUCUAACUCACUGCACAACAAAAAUACACAUUUCUCAAGUCAAAAAUUUUAACUUUUAACUCAACACAUUGAAACCAAACGCACCGUUACUGUUUGAAGUGAUCUUAUUAAAAUAUACGGCAUGUCAAUCAUCAACUAUUCAUGGCAAUAUCUACUGAUGAGCGUGACAGCUGUUCUUUGUUCUUGUUACGGACAUAUAUGUUUCGCGAGACUUUCAUCUUAUUUUUUCUUUAAAUAAUACAGAAUUUAUCAGUUGGUAAGGUGCCAGCAAUAUUGCCCAAUCCAAUUCUUAGACUGGAGUACACUUUUAUACGUAGACCUGCACAAUCUGAGGAAUGUUUUAACUACACUUUGCCUCAUGAGGAGUUCCCCUGGCCUUGAGCAGAUAGUUUUUCAUGUUUUUGUAGAAGAUGAAUUGGCCUAUGAGGAUAAAAUCAAAGAGUAUAGCAAAAUCUACAGUUUGCGAGUUUCAUUGGAGGCAUUGUGGUCUGUCCGUGUUCGGUGUAUAUGGAGGGCAGUCCAGCAGAAAAGAGUUUUCUGAAAUUUUUGCUUUUAAACUCGCCAAUGUUGGAAAUAAUGGAAGUUAUGGUCCCCUGUUUUGUUUCCGGUGCCGGGCAGUCGUUGGCAAGUUUUUGGAAGAGUUGGAGCAGUCUCAGAGAUCUCCGUCACGAAAAGAUUGUGAUGGCAAACUUGCAUUAGGGGCAAUAUCUCUUGGAAUUGGCUUGGAUUUAUAAUUGCUGACAAGGUUUUGUCAACUUGUAGUACAGAUACAGUUCACCUUGCUCGUUUGAGAACUCAAAGGUCGUGUAGGCUAUUAGCUUGCUGCAUACAACAAAAAUCACGGGCUUCAUCUGAUUUCUCCUUUCGCGUUCACCAGUGCUCGAGAGGAUGGAGGUUUGGUCUCAUCCUAGUCAUGUUACAGAGUGUUGCGAGUUGCUAAAAGCGUGCAGCCAAUUUCCACGAGCUUCGGCUCGAGCUGAGGCUGUUCUCGUGAGAAGUCACAGAGCAACCCCUGGGCAGCAUCCUGUAUGGGUUUAGACUUUUUGGGUCGACUGCUUUAAGUAAGGUGCAAAGGUUUGACAAAUUUCUCCUUUAUUAUUUAUUUUAUUUUAUUAAAAUUAUUGAGCAAAAAGGUCUCGGUAAUUUCUCUUUUUACUAAUAAAGGUUAAACUAGUGUUAUUAA